UGAUUCGAUCUCUUCAAAGUUAAACCUUUUUUUUUGUUUGUUUAGUGUUUGGACUUUUGAGCUUACAAAAUCAGAGUUUUGAAGUUGUUGUGGUUGAGUUGCUUUGAAGUGGCGAAACCAAAGGUAGAGCAUAUGAAAAUGAGGUCUGAGCAAUUGCCCUAGUAUGAGACUUGAAUCUCACAAUUGCAGAGUUGAUUACUAAAAUGAUUCCUUAUUCAUAUGCUCUUGAAAGUUAAGUUUCCACACAAAAAUCUUGAGAAAUCAUUUAUUUGUUGUCUUUCGAAAUUAAUUAUUUUGCACCCAC
rnacentral:lncRNA from 1 species